ensembl:lncRNA
GUGUACAUCUGUUUGCUGUGUGGGACUGAUCACCACCCCUUCCACGUUAGCAGUCAUGGAUCAUUUCUGCUGACAGAAGACAAACUACCUGGUGACCAGGUCAGCCCUAGUUCCUAGGCUUCUGAAUUCCCAGUUACAGGUAUGCAGCUGUAAGAGUUGGAUCACUACCAAGGGGAAAGCUUUGCAGUCUGUUGACCAAACAACCGCCACAACAAUGUGGGAGUGACAGGUACUUCAUGAUUUAGAACAAUUAAGACACAGUCCUGGCUUAUUUUUCAGCCUGAUGCACAUACUGAGUGCAUUUACCAACGGUAUGAAAAGUAGGAAGCAAUUUAUUACAGAGGUCAGCUUUUGAACUAUGUACUUUUUUUCAUAGCAACACUGGUGUCAAGCUCCAGAUGGUUACUCAAGAGGUAACUCCCAUUCCCACAAUGGAUAAGGAUAACAUGUAGAAGUCAUGACAUGAAUUCGUAAAAUUUAUGCAGAUGUACAGCCUCCAGCUGCAUCACUUCCACCCUAGAGAGUCCUUGAUGGCCAGCAGGUGAGCAAUGAAUUGCUCCAGCCCAUUCCAGAAGACUGGGCAUGCCAGAGGCACAGUCUCUUCCAUUUGCUUUUUUCCUUCUCCACAGUCAUCCCCCCAGAAAUAGCAAUACGAGCUGGGGUUCCUAGCAAAACACCACCACCAGCAACCACGAUCUCCCUUACUUUUGGAGCUCUCUUCUCAGGAAUGGUGAAGAUGUUUGUGCAUCAUUGUAUGGGGACUGUUAAGUCAUGGCCUGAAUCACUGAUGGAGCACCUGGGAAAAGGACACGGUCAGCCCUGGGAGUACAGGUGAAGGCAAUUCAUCUGUGUGACUGGAAGGGGUGGAGCCUGGCUGCACCUCUCUUAGACCUCAUUUAAGGGCAGACUGCCACUGUGGAAGGAUCUCUGGUUGGAGAUCUCUCCCUCGUGGAGUUUUUCCCCUUAGCCUAGUUCUUUGGCAACUGAUGAGCACUUUUAUAACACUAUUCCACCCCUUUGCUGUUAUACUCCUCUAUUGUCUUUCUACUGCGCUAACCUUUUUGAUUCUAACAAUCAUCCUUAAGGCUGAGCUGCACCACUCCUAUAGCUUCACCAAAUAGAUGAAGGUUUCACCUGGGAGGCCAUCAAUGGUCUAUGCCACACAGAAGUACUAGUAAAUGUCUACAAAAGUGACAGCAUCCCAUGAGUUUCCCUGUUAUGGUGAGUGAGAGCACUUCCUACAGGAGGAACUGGGAAGCAUCCAGGCCCUGUCUAGACAGGAGGAAAAGAGGUGAAAGGGGAACACUGAGAGAAGAAAAUGGAAGAAGCAGAAUAAGGCUGAGCUGUACCUGGCUGGAGGGUGCCUUGUAUACGCAUGCACAAGCAGUGGUAAAUGUGAGCUCCUCAUAGCAACCAUCUCUCUCCAGUGCAAGGGGACAGUAAUGGAGUUGGGAGCCUGCUCUCAGUGAGCAUGUAGAUGACUCAGCUUAUUUAUUCAGGCUGGAUUCUCCCAGUUUCUCUGGGAGAAGCCAGGUGUCCUAACAAACUAUUAGCUCAAACAAAUGUGCUUGCUCAGGGUCAUUGCUCAUUUCCAGGUCAGAUGCAGGGAGGCCAAAGACUUGGGAAGAUGCAGAGAAGCCAGGCUGCUUUCCAGUCUGAGCCUGAAAACAAGGGAGGGCAAGAAAAAAAUGAAUGCCGAUUGCUUUCAAACAGUUCAGAUCAUCAGCAAAGGAAAGCUGCUCUUCGACUUUCUGCUGCAGCUUGAAGGACUUAAAGAGGCUCUCCCAGCACCCCCAUCUAAAGUCUGUAGGAGUAGUGAUGAUCCCUAGACAGGAUGCAGCUUCAUAAGAUGAACCCCCCAAACAUUAGACUGCAACUGUAAGGACCUGGCUUCAUCACCAGGCCUUUGGAGUACUGGAGGAGCCCUAUAACGGUGUCAAAUGGAACUUCAACAGUCAGUGGAGGGAAGGUUACUGGUUUUUGCCCUUUAUCAUCUUGUCCCAGUCAGUCUCACGUAACCUUGUCAGAGACACUAAGUACCUCCAGCUGCCAUUCAAGCAUGUCUGCACAUCAGGGCAGCAAUGCUCUUUUCAAAGUGGUUAUUUGACCAGAAGUCAAUAUUAGAGCACAUAAGGAAACAGGGAAAGCAAAUGAUGCCAGCCAAAUGGAGCACUAAGAGAGCAUCAUUUCACAGAGCUCAGUACCUCACUAUGCAUCCAAGUUUUAAAAUGGUACCAAAUACCACCCUAUCAGGACAGCAUGAUUUUAUGCCCUUUGGGUACUACUGAGAAUGAUGAAACAGGAGAAACACAGCUGUGUGGAAGGGUGGAUUGCAGAAAAUAACUGUUUUCUUUUCUCCUCCUUUUUGUCUCUACCUCCCUGUUUCUGUGGGUAGGAGUGAGGACUUGAAGGUCUCUGCUCUUAUCCAUGUGCUAGAUCCUCCUAUGCAGCAUCUCUCCCAGAACAAAGGUCAUCCCCCAAGGAUAAGCGGAACAGCCACAGAUAGAUAACACUUCUGAUCUCCAGCCUUGUGCUGAGAAGAUGAAUUAUCUACCUCUAAGCAUGAUUUCUGUUUCACACUGCAGGCGCAGUUUAGGUGACAAUACAGUAGCAGUUAAGUUAUUCCAUUUGGGAAAAGGAGGGACAGAGAAAAUGCCACACGCAGUAAGUUAUGGCACAUGACCUGCAGCAGCAAGUAUCUGGAACAUUUGUUACUCUGUUCUCAUUCCUUAAGAAGCUCAUACUUCACAACUAAAUCAGUAACAGUGUGUACCAAUUUUAUCUUGUGCCUCGUGUGAAUAACAAUAAAAAUACUAAUAUCUUUUAUUUCCACUGCUUAUCGGCUCCACUGAGGCCAUAUUACAUCCAGGUUCUCUUUGCAGCAUCAUUUGAAUGGCUGUAAGGAGAACAUAAAACUGACAUCCAAGCCAUCUGCUCAUCAGUGUUUCCCCUUCUUUACUCUUCUUUUGCAUAGAAAAAUUAUCCAGCUGUCUAUCUGUACACGUGGAUGUAUGUGAUCUCAAACAUUUAAGGAUUCAUGAUAUUCCUUCUGCUGCCAAAAAGUUCCCGUGCGCAUCACCCGGUUACACAUUAUCCUUCUCUGCAACAGAAAAACUGUGCAUCCUGGGAGAGUUAGAUCAUGGGAUUUAAACUAUCCUCACUUCUGCAUCAUCACUGUCCUGUGACCAUGCAGACCUUCACAGCUGGCACCAGCUGAGCUUGAAGUGCCUGGGACCACUGUCGAUGGAUGAGGGUGGGACAACUGUGUGUGUAAGGCCGAGGUCAGCAGUCAGUGCUGCAUCCAGAGAGUCAUGCCAAAUGGAAUUGCAUAUACCAGAAAAAAAUGGUCUUCUUAAAAGCCCAAGGCAGAUCACCAGUAACAAUUCAUAUAAAAACAGUGGAGAGACAUCUGAGUGAAAAUUGGAGUCAAGAGCCCUUCUCCUUCCCUAAUCACAUGACCUUGUGGACACUGGUAGGAGGAAGCACAGAUGCCAACAGCGCAGUCCUGUCCUGUGCCUCCAUCCAUCUUCCUCCUCUAAAAGUAAAUUCAGGGACUCUGCAGGCUGACUUCUCUCUGCAGGAAAUAAAGACUAGAGAAGUUUGGUGUGCU